rnacentral:lncRNA from 1 species
CCUGAUAGCAAAAUCUAUCGAAAAUGAAUCCAUAUCCAUGCUUCGCGAUGUAAUCAGAAGUAUCAGUGAAAAUGAAAACAAUAAGGGGAAAGACAUUCAACAAUAGUUUCAUCAGAUUAGCAUUAUUUUUUUAUUGGCUGACACAGACAAAUGAAUCUUCAAUCUCAUUGGAAAUAUACAUACAUUUUAGACAAAGCUUUCUAAUUCACGAGUACAUAAAUUUGUUUAACUGACUGUGAAAAGUAAAAAAGAAAAUGAGGCCCUCAAAGCCGAGAAGGGAACGAAAUCGAGCUUUACACAAAUAUACGAGAAAGAUUUCCAAUUGGGGCAGUUAAAUGUAUUGAGUUUAGUUUCCAAAUGUAUUGCACUCCUCCAGCAAUUUAAGGAUACUAUUCUCUGGGGCACUGGUUGAUGGCAGAAUUACUCGAUUAGAAGCGCGUUGAGGUUUUAGUCCUGGAGUACUCUCAGAUGCUAAUGGGGUUUGUUCCUGCAUGACUGGCAGGUCAGCUCGCCUCUGGACGCCUGAAGACACUCGCUCCUUCCAUAUUCUUCCAUCCUGAUUAUCGAAGAAAUAAAGUUAGUCAUAAACUUACCCCCCUCUUUCAUGUCAAAAUUGAAAUUGUGGUUCACAGUAAAACCUAGGAAUUAGAAUUUGAAAUCUAAUACACGAAGUAUAGGUGCUAGUUUCUUCCCCUUAUGUUUCUAAUAAACAUAGAGAGAAAACAUAUUUAACCAAUCUGGCUGCUACCACCUUAAUGAGUUCGUAUUGCGGGGUCUUUGGAGCUCAAAGGUGGAUUUUGCUCUCUUCAACUUAUUAACUAAAUUCUCUUACACGUUCAAUUCCUCCAUUCAUUUCCUAGCUAUGUCUCAUAAUCACUCCCCAUGAACCAACACAA